rnacentral:rRNA from 1 species
AGCGAACGCUGGCGGCAGGCCUAACACAUGCAAGUCGAACGAACCUUCCGUGGGUAGUUGCGGACGGGGGAGGAACACGGGGGAACGUGCCGGUAGGUACGGAAUAAUUCAGUGAAACUUGUGCUAAUAUCGAAUGUGCUAUUCUGGGGAAAGAUUAAUCGCCCUUAGAGCGGCCCGCGACUGUUUAGCUAGUUGGUUGUGGUAAUGGCGCCCCAAGGCGAGGAUCUGUACCUGGUCUGAGAGGAUGAUCACACACAUUUGCACUGAGACACGGCGCAAAAUACUACGGGAGGCGGGAGUGGGGAAUCUUGCGCAAUGGGCGAAAGCAUGACGCAGCCAUGCCGGGUAAAUGAUGAAGGUCUUAGGAAUAUAAAAUUCUUUCACCGGGGACGAUAAUGACGGUACCCGGAGAAGAAGCCCCGGCUAACUUCGUG